AGGAAUGCCUUUGAGUGGAGUUGACAGCGAUUAUGAGGAAGAACCGUACUCGGAAACAAAAAGGAGUGCAGCAGUUAAGGAUACGGACGUACCCUUAUGAGAUCAAGAUCAGGAAGACGAGGUUUUCUACGAAAUCAGUUUUUCCUGUCUGGAUUGUGGCAAACUGCAGCCAAAGAUCAUCACCGCUGUCUGGAACUGGUCUGCUGCAGAAGAAUCGGAGCAGCGUGAUGUGGAGCUGUCAUCCCUGUGCGAUAGAUUGCAAAAUGGGUUAGUCCUCCCUUUCUUACCUCUGCUCCUGGAUAUCGCUCUCAUUUCACUUACUUAGGCAUUGUCACCGCUGCUGGUAUAUCCGAAGCAAGCCAGUGCAGGAAGAAAUGGAAGGAGCUCUCUCCAACACAGCACAGCCACCUGGAAG
rnacentral:lncRNA from 1 species